rnacentral:rRNA from 1 species
UACGUAGGGGGCUAGCGUUGUCCGGAAUUCAUUGGGCGUAAAGCGCGUGUAGGCGGUUCGGUAAGUCCGCUGUGAAAGUCGGGGGCUCAACCCUCGGAUGCCGGUGGAUACUGUCGAGCUGAGCCGGAAGAGGCGAGUGGAAUUCCUGGUGUAGCGGUGGAAUGCGCAGAUAGUCAGGAGGAACACCCAUAGCGAAGGCAG